rnacentral:rRNA from 1 species
CCUUGCGCUAUUACCUGAGCCUAAGUCGGAUUAGCUUGUUGGUGGGGUAAUGGCCUACCAAGGCGACGAUCCGUAGCUGGUCUGAGAGGAUGAUCAGCCACAUCGGGACUGAGACACGGCCCGAACUCCUACGGGAGGCAGCAGUGGGGAAUAUUGGACAAUGGGCGCAAGCCUGAUCCACCCAUGCCGCGUGUGUGAAGAAGGCUUUCGGGUUGUAAAGCACUUUCAGCGAGGAGGAAGGCCUUAACGCUAAUAUCGUUGAGGAUUGACGUCACUCGCAGAAGAAGCACCGGCUAACUCCGUGCCAGCAGCCGCGGUAAUACGGAGGGUGCAAGCGUUAAUCGGAAUUACUGGGCGUAAAGCGCGCGUAGGUGGUUAUGUAAGCGAGAUGUGAAAGCCCCGGGCUCAACCUGGGAACGGCACUUCGAACUGCAUGGCUAGAGUGUGGUAGAGGGUAGUGGAAUUUCCUGUGUAGCGGUGAAAUGCGUAGAUAUAGGAAGGAACACCAGUGGCGAAGGCGGCUACCUGGACCAACACUGACACUGAGGUGCGAAAGCGUGGGGAGCAAACAUGAUUAGAUACCCUGGUAGUCCACGCCGUAAACGAUGUCAACUAGCCGUUGGGGAUCUUGAAUCCUUAGUGGCGCAGCUAACGCACUAAUUUGACCGCCUGGGGAGUACGGCCGCAGGUUAAACUCAAUGAAUUGCCGGCGCCCGCACAA